rnacentral:rRNA from 1 species
GACGAACGCUGGCGGCGUGCUUAACACAUGCAAGUCGAACGAUGACGCGGUGCUUGCACCGUGGCUUAGUGGCGAACGGGUGAGUCAUACGUGAGUGACCUACCUUUCACUCUGGGAUAAGCCUGGGAAACUGGGUCUAAUACCGGAUACGACCAAUCUCUGCAUGGGGUGUUGGUGGAAAGCGUUAUGUAGUGGUUUUAGAUGGGCUCACGGCCUAUCAGCUUGCUGGUGAGGUCAUGGCUUACCAAGGCGACGACGGGUAGCCGGCCUGGGCGGGUGACAGGCCACACUGGGCCGGAGAUACGGCCCAGACCCGAAUGGGAGGCAGCGGAGGGGAGUAGUGCACAAGGGGCGGAAGGCUGAUGCAGCGACGCCGCGUGGGGGAAGACGGCCUGGGGGUUGUAAACCUCUGUUAGCAUCGAAGAAGCGAAAGUGACGGUAGGUGCAGAGAAAGCGCCGGCUAACUACGUG